GACGAACGCUGGCGGCGUGCCUAAUACAUGCAAGUUGAGCGCUGAAGGUUGGUACUUGUACCAACUGGAUGAGCAGCGAACGGGUGAGUAACGCGUGGGGAAUCUGCCUUUGAGCGGGGGACAACAUUUGGAAACGAAUGCUAAUACCGCAUAAAAACUUUAAACACAAGUUUUAAGUUUGAAAGAUGCAAUUGCAUCACUCAAAGAUGAUCCCGCGUUGUAUUAGCUAGUUGGUGAGGUAAAGGCUCACCAAGGCGAUGAUACAUAGCCGACCUGAGAGGGUGAUCGGCCACAAUGGGACUGAGACACGGCCCAAACUCCUACGGGAGGCAGCAGUAGGGAAUCUUCGGCAAUGGGCGAAAGUCUGACCGAGCAACGCCGCGGGAGUGAAGAAGGGUUUCGGAUCGUAAAACUCUGUUGGUAGAGAAGAACGUUGGUGAGAGUGGAAAGCUCAUCAAGUGACGGUAACUACCCAGAAAGGGACGGCUAACUACGUG
rnacentral:rRNA from 1 species